CCUACGGGGGGCUGCAGUGGGGAAUAUUGGACAAUGGGGGGAACCCUGAUCCAGCCAUGCCGCGUGUGUGAAGAAGGCCCUCGGGUUGUAAAGCACUUUCAGUGAGGAAGAACGCCUGGUGGUUAAUACCCAUCAGGAAAGACAUCACUCACAGAAGAAGCACCGGCUAACUCCGUGCCAGCAGCCGCGGUAAUACGGAGGGUGCGAGCGUUAAUCGGAAUUACUGGGCGUAAAGCGCGCGUAGGUGGCUUGAUAAGCCGGUUGUGAAAGCCCCGGGCUCAACCUGGGAACGGCAUCCGGAACUGUCAAGCUAGAGUGCAGGAGAGGAAUGUAGAAUUCCCGGUGUAGCGGUGAAAUGCGUAGAGAUCGGGAGGAAUACCAGUGGCGAAGGAGGCCUUCUGGACUGACACUGACACUGAGGUGCGAGAGCGUGGGUAGCAAACAGGAUUAGAUACGCCAGUAGUC
rnacentral:rRNA from 1 species